rnacentral:rRNA from 1 species
UACGGAGGAUGCGAGCGUUAUCCGGAUUUAUUGGGUUUAAAGGGUGCGUAGGCGGAUCAUUAAGUCAGUGGUGAAAUCUUUCGGCUCAACUGGAAAAUUGCCAUUGAUACUGAUGAUCUUGAAUGCAGUUGAGGUAAGCGGAAUGUGUAAUGUAGCGGUGAAAUGCUUAGAUAUUACACAGAACACCGAUUGCGAAGGCAGCUUGCUAAACUGUGAUUGACGCUGAGGCACGAAAGCGUGGGGAUCAAACAGG